ACGGGUGAGUAAUGUCUGGGAAACUGCCUGAUGGAGGGGGAUAACUACUGGAAACGGUAGCUAAUACCGCAUAACGUCGCAAGACCAAAGAGGGGGACCUUCGGGCCUCUUGCCAUCAGAUGUGCCCAGAUGGGAUUAGCUAGUAGGUGGGGUAAUGGCUCACCUAGGCGACGAUCCCUAGCUGGUCUGAGAGGAUGACCAGCCACACUGGAACUGAGACACGGUCCAGACUCCUACGGGAGGCAGCAGUGGGGAAUAUUGCACAAUGGGCGCAAGCCUGAUGCAGCCAUGCCGCGUGUGUGAAGAAGGCCUUCGGGUUGUAAAGCACUUUCAGCGAGGAGGAAGGUGGUGAGCUUAAUACGUUCAUCAAUUGACGUUACUCGCAGAAGAAGCACCGGCUAACUCCGUGCCAGCAGCCGCGGUAAUACGGAGGGUGCAAGCGAUAAUCGGAAUUACUGGGCGUAAAGCGCACGCAGGCGGUUUGUUAAGUCAGAUGUGAAAUCCCCGGGCUCAACCUGGGAACUGCAUUUGAAACUGGCAAGCUAGAGUCUCGUAGAGGGGGGUAGAAUUCCAGGUGU
rnacentral:rRNA from 1 species